GCUGGUGUGGCUCAGUGCUUUGAGGUCUGGACUAUGAUUCUGGAGACCAGUGUUCAAAUCUCCGCUGGGCCA